rnacentral:tRNA from 1 species
GUCUCCAUAGUUCAAUGGAUAGAACGAAGGUUUCCUAAACCUUAAAUCAGAGUUCGAUUCUCUGUGGAGAUA